CUGCGUUACAGCUCUUUUCAAAUUUGUCUAGCAAGCUUUCCAGUUUUUGCCAGAAAGCCCCU
ensembl:snRNA U7 U7 small nuclear RNA